UACGGAGGGGGCUAGCGUUGUUCGGAAUUACUGGGCGUAAAGCGCACGUAGGCGGCUUUGUAAGUUAGAGGUGAAAGCCCAGGGCUCAACCCUGGAAUUGCCUUUAAGACUGCAUCGCUAGAAUUGUGGAGAGGUAAGUGGAAUUCCGAGUGUAGAGGUGAAAUUCGUAGAUAUUCGGAAGAACACCAGUGGCGAAGGCGGCCACCUGGCUCGGUACUGACGCUCAGGUUCGAAAGCGUGGGGAGCAAACAGG
rnacentral:rRNA from 1 species